rnacentral:rRNA from 1 species
CCUACGGGAGGCAGCAGUGGGGAAUUUUCCGCAAUGGGCGCAAGCCUGACGGAGCAACGCCGCGUGAGGGAUGAAGGCCUCUGGGCUGUAAACCUCUUUUCUCAAGGAAGAAGACCUGACGGUACUUGAGGAAUAAGCCACGGCUAAUUCCGUGCCAGCAGCCGCGGUAAUACGGGAGUGGCAAGCGUUAUCCGGAAUUAUUGGGCGUAAAGCGUCCGCAGGCGGCCUAUUAAGUCUGUCGUUAAAGCGUGGAGCUCAACUCCAUUUAAGCGAUGGAAACUGGAAGGCUAGAGUGUGGUAGGGGCAGAGGGAAUUCCCGGUGUAGCGGUGAAAUGCGUAGAUAUCGGGAAGAACACCAGUGGCGAAGGCGCUCUGCUGGGCCAUAACUGACGCUCAUGGACGAAAGCCAGGGGAGCGAAAGGGAUUAGAUACCCCUGUAGUCCUGGCCGUAAACGAUGAACACUAGGUGUACGGGGAAUCCGACCCCGUCGGUGUCGUAGCUAACGCGUUAAGUGUUCCGCCGUGGGUAGGUACGCGCGCGAGUGUGAACACAAGAAGUAGACGGCGNGAGACGNGCCGACGGACGACGACGACGGGAGGUAGG